GGUCAAACUGGAAUGUUUGACAACGCGACAAAUCGGUGAUUUGCAAAUUUUAGUGAUGCUUUGGCAAAGUUUUCCUCCAUCACUUAGUAGAUUUGCUCCGGCAUUUCAUCGAAGAGUCCCUUUGGCCUCUCUUUGCGGCGACAGAUUAUGCGCGUUCUGUGCGUAGAGCUCGUUCCACCCAUCGCAUCUAAGGCAUAGCUUAUCCGUUUUAAGCAUUACGUAUGGAAGCAUAUUCUCCUUCUUCCAAUGCCGGAAGCGCAGCACGACAUCGCGCAGCUCAUCAGGUCUUGCGGGAAUUCCAGAAAUCUCUUGAGGGCACAGGAGCUCCAUCGCCGGAUCCUUGCGGAAAACCCACGCGACAGGUUUCUGGCCAAUUUGGC
rnacentral:lncRNA from 1 species